rnacentral:rRNA from 1 species
UAGGGAAUCUUCCGCAAUGGGCGAAAGCCUGACGGAGCAACGCCGCGUGAGUGAUGAAGGUCUUCGGAUCGUAAAACUCUGUUAUUAGGGAAGAACAAAUGUGUAAGUAACUAUGCACGUCUUGACGGUACCUAAUCAGAAAGCCACGGCUAACUACGUGCCAGCAGCCGCGGUAAUACGUAGGUGGCAAGCGUUAUCCGGAAUUAUUGGGCGUAAAGCGCGCGUAGGCGGUUUUUUAAGUCUGAUGUGAAAGCCCACGGCUCAACCGUGGAGGGUCAUUGGAAACUGGAAAACUUGAGUGCAGAAGAGGAAAGUGGAAUUCCAUGUGUAGCAGUGAAAUGCGCAGAGAUAUGGAGGAACACCAGUGGCGAAGGCGACUUUCUGGUCUGUAACUGACGCUGAUGUGCGAAAGCGUGGGGAUCAAACAGG